AACGAAAGCACAUAAAAGACCGUUUUCUGAAUAUCACUACAACAAAUUGAGCUUUUAACAACACCAAAAUAAUAGCACUUUGACAAAAAUGCUGUUAUUAUUUGGGAUAGCAACAGUAAACCACUUAAGGAAGCAAUUUAACAGCAUUUCAUGUACAAAUACUGUAAAAAAAGUACGAUACAACAGCGUUUUAAUUAAACGCUACAAUAAUGUGCUAUUAAUCUAACCACUCAUCCCAUUUUUACCAGUCCACUAAAGCAUAACACAAAAAAAGAAAAAAAAAAAAAAAUUGAUUAACCAACCUCCACGACUUUAUAGAUCUAAAUCCACAAAAUCCUAAUUCCAUAAGUUUUCACACUGCUCUACUUUCUCCUCCAUUGAAUUAUACUGUCAUGCUCUAAAUUUCCCAGUGAUUCUCUCCUCCAUUGAAGCAGCUUUUGAGGAGCCACUCGGGUGAGGAUGAGGUUAAGGUUGAGGUUUUGGGAGCAUUUACCGAAUCAUUGAAAAUUAUCUAGAAUGUACUUGGCAUGUUCCUCGAUUUUGAUGACCCGAGAGAAGGCCGAAAAAUUACAUUAGAAGUAGCCUUGAAGCUAAAAAGAAGCAACGAAACAAGCAAGAGCAAAAGGAGCAAAGAACGAAGCAAGCACAAGCAGCAGCGCAACCACCGUGGCACGGCAGUGGGCACCGUGUCGCGGAGUUCAGCACCGUGGCUCGGCAGACAGCCGUGUCGUGGCAGCCGACGCCGUGGCAUGGAAACCUAGUUUUGCCCACCGCGGGCGCGAGUUCAGCCUCUGCAGGUGCGACCCUGCAGGUUUCCAGUUUUGGCCAGCUUCUUGUAAAUUCCCCGGAGAUGCCUCUCAGCGGACGCGACCCUUAGCCACCGCGGGCGCGGGUUUCUAGGUUUCCUUCGCAUUUUAUCUUCGUUUUUUUGUAAUAUUAAUAGGACGACCUUCUUUAGACUUCAUAAAAGCAAGUUUUUACAUUCUCUCUCCUCUAAUUAGGAUUGGGCUUAGAUUAGGAGUUUCUCUCUCUAGCUUAGGAGUAGUUUUAGAGAGAGAAAGCUUGGGAUUUCAAUGGAGAUUUAAGAGUCUGAAGAUGCAAUUUUGUGGAUACUCUUCUCAUCUAUUCAAUGAGCUUUUCUAAC